GGAUAUGAGGGUGAUGUGGUUGCCUUGCAAACUGUCACCCCAUUGAUCAUCAGGGCUAAUCUAGUUAGCUAGAUGGGUGUCCCCUUCUUCCCUUAUCACUCCAUAUGCAUCUUUUCUCAGUAAAAGAGGAGGACCUUCCCCAAUAGAGGUGUACAUGUCAAGGGUACAUGAGUACCUGUGCUCCCCCAUUCGAACAAGCUCUCAAAGCCCAUUUGUAAGAGAAUGUAGGGUUUUCAUACUUCCAAGACUCCGGACACAUCCAUAUGAGGCACUGCCUGGGGCAGUCUGCUUUCCUUU
rnacentral:snRNA from 1 species